GCGAGCGUUAAUCGGAAUUACUGGGCGUAAAGCGCACGCAGGCGGUUUGUUAAGCUAGAUGUGAAAGCCCCAGGCUCAACCUGGGAACUGCAUUUAGAACUGACUGACUAGAGUCUUGGAGAGGGGAGUGGAAUUCCAGGUGUAGCGGUGAAAUGCGUAGAGAUCUGGAGGAACAUCAGUGGCGAAGGCGACUCCCUGGCCAAAGACUGACGCUCAUGUGCGAAAGUGUGGGUAGCGAACAGGAUUAGAUACCCUGGUAGUCCACGCCGUAAACGAUGUCUACUAGCUGUUUGUGUAUUUAAUACGUGAGUAGCGCAGCUAACGCGCUAAGUAGACCGCCUGGGGAGUACGGCCGCAAGGUUAAAACUCAAAUGA
rnacentral:rRNA from 1 species